rnacentral:lncRNA from 1 species
UAUAAAGUUAUUUUCAUUUCGGGACUCGGGAUCCCUAUUACCUUCCACAUCUCAUGCAAUGACAAGUAAAUAAACACUCAUCUUGAGAAUAACAUACAUAUCAUGGAAAAUAUUGGUCACCCCCUGCCGCUUCAUGAGCGGUACGGACACACAAAAAGGAAAUUCAUUUUGAAAAUUAGAGUUCGCACAUACAAAUUUACUUGUAAUGGCAUGGAAAUACCGCAUAUAGGUAGGUAUGGUGGACUCAUUUCGCACAACUUUGGGUUGAAGGAGUUGGAUGCACAAGCAGUAUUCCCGCUUAGUACAAAUGGAGGCUAGCAAAUAGAUUGAGAAGCGACCAACCAAGAAACAAAAACGAUCAUAAAUGGGCAUUAAACAUAACUAAC